AAACUUACCUGGCAGGGGAGAUACCAUGAUCAUGAAGGUGGUUUUGCCAGGGUGAGGCUCAUCCAUUGCACUGAGGGUGCGCUGAUCUCUGUGAUUUCCCCAAAUGCGGGAAACUCGACUGCAUAAUUUGUGGUAGUCGGGGACCACGUUCGCACUCUCCCCUG
rnacentral:snRNA from 1 species